rnacentral:snoRNA from 1 species
ACCAAUUCUGGGGGAGAAUCAAUUCCUCCUGGUGUAAUGGCUCGGACGCUAUAGUGUGUCAUUGUGGCUAUCCUGAUUAGUGGUUCUCUCAAUACCAUUUGAUCGUGGAAACACCACAUACAUUA